rnacentral:rRNA from 1 species
CAGCAGCCGCGGUAAUUCAGAGACUGCAAGCGUUAUUCGGAUUCACUGGGCGUAAAGGGUGCGCAGGCGGCCAAGUGUGUUAGGCGUGGAAGCCUGGGGCUUAACCCCAGGAUUGCACCUAAAACUACAUGGCUAGAGCAUUGGAGAGGGUAGCGGAAUUCACGGUGUAGCAGUGAAAUGCGUAGAUAUCGUGAGGAACACCAGAGGCGAAGGCGGCUACCUGGACAAUUGCUUACGCUCAGGCACGAAAGCGUGGGGAGCAAAAGGGAUUAGAUACCCCUGUAGUCCACGCCCUAAACGGUGCACACUAGGUCUUGGCGGAUUCGACCCCACCAGGGCCCAAGCUAACGCGUUAAGUGUGCCGCCUGAGGACUACGGUCGCAAGACUGAAACUUAAAUGAAUUGACGG